CCCAGGAGAUGAACAUAUGCCUGAGAAGAAGAACUAGUGUGGAACUGUCAGCCAGGUUUUUGAUGAGUGCUCAGACUGCUUUUUGAUCCGGCACCACAUUUACUAUAGUGGACAGAUGCUCUAGUCUCUGAUGAGGAGUUGCUAGCUGUUAGGAAAAACCUGGAAUGGGCUCCACUGCAUGAGGUUUGAAGUCUCCAGAGCAGCAAAGAGAGUGGGGAGUAGAACUCAUCAUCUUUAGGUCACUCAGCAUCGAUGGGUUGUUUGCAACCUUAGUAUGCAGACAUGGAUGGUUGAACACAAACCUGUCAGGCUGAUAAAGAACUAGACAUCUACUAACGUCCUUGGAACCAUGUUCAGAUUGCUGCACAUCCUCCUGAAGAUGCCACAGAUGACAUGUUUCCUUGUGAUUGUUGUUCUCUUCUUGUUGUUGCUGUUUUCUUUUAACAUUUGAAGAGGAUACUUUAUUAGUCUGUUGCUAUGUUAGUCAUCUCCUGGCAUUAGAAACUAACAUCCCACUGUUUAAAUGUUUUACAUUUUCUACUCUUUUUGGAAAACACAACGUAUGCACAUCAUUUUUUCCUAUUGUUUCAAAGACAUACCACUAUGUAAUUCAACUUUACAAUUGUAAACAUUUUGACCAAUAUUCACAUGAAUAUAAAUUUUAUGUGUAAACUU
rnacentral:lncRNA from 1 species